rnacentral:rRNA from 1 species
GGGUCAGUAGGUUGGUCGUGCCACCGGUACGUACUGGUCUCACUGAUUCCUCCUUCCUGAAGAACCGUAAUGCCAUUAAUUUGGUGUUGCGGAGAAACAGGACUGUUACUUUGAAAAAAUUAGAGUGUUUAAAGCAAGCUAACGCUUGAAUACAUUAGCAUGGAAUAAUGAAAUAGGACGAUCGAUCCUAUUUUGUUGGCUUCUAGGAUUGACGUA